UCCUUGUCAGAAUAAUACCUUGACAACUCCCAGUGUUGAAUCUUUGAGUGGAGGAAGCAUUGCAGGUAUUGUGAUCGGUGUUCUUGUUGCGAUUUGUGGUACAGGUGGUGGAAUCAUACUUUGUAGAAAGUUUGUCUGCAUCGAAAAAUCAGAUAGUUCAACACAAACAAACAAUGGGACCAUUAACCAAUUUAACUGUGAAAAUCACCAUUACAACAACGCUGUACAGGCAGUUGAGAAAGCAGUACAACCAUACAGUACAAAUGUACCCUUUGAUCUGAUACGGUUUAAAAAAAAAGGAGAAAUAUCUUUUGAACGUGAGAUAAAUGAACGAGAUGCAUCUGGAAACGAACGACAGGAUAAACAAGCAUUCAGAAUUAAAUUUGGAUAAUAAAUACUUUUUCAACGUUCAGCACGCAUUUAAGAAGAAAAUAGUCUGAAGAAAGAACUUUAUUUUUAAAAGGGAACAAAUUUUUUAAACGACUCUUCAUUAAAGGACACUUAUCUAAAGAGAAAAAGUUACACAUAACUUCAAAUAGAAUAAUAUUAAUGUCAGUUCGAUACAUUUUUAUAAAAUAAGCUUGGGAUAUAAAAAAAAUCAAAGUUAAAAUCGAUAUGUUUUUUGUUUAUUUCUAAUUUUUUUAACAUUUUAUACCAGGAAAAAAAUUACUGUAUACUUAAAUGCAGACGUAUUUCAAUAUUUAUGUCAGAGCAAAAUACCCGUGAGAUUAUCCACGGGUAGGUACUUUAUCAAUAGCAAUUCUGUUUGUGACAAAAUCCCUCCUGUGAGUCGCUUCAAGAAUUUAAUUUAUUUAAAUUUUGGUAUGUAACAAUUUUUGCUUGAUUGAUAUCAAAAAUAAAUAUAAAGAUUCA